rnacentral:rRNA from 1 species
GACGAACGCUGGCGGCGUGCCUAAUACAUGCAAGUUGAGCGCUGAAGGCUGGUACUUGUACCAACUGGAUGAGCAGCGCACGGGUGAGUAACGCGUGGGGAAUCUGCCUUUGAGCGGGGGACAACAUUUGGAAACGAAUGCUAAUACCGCAUAAAAACUUUAAACACAAGUUUUAAGUUUGAAAGAUGCAAUUGCAUCACUCAAAGAUGAUCCCGCGUUGUAUUAGCUAGUUGGUGAGGUAAAGGCUCACCAAGGCGAUGAUACAUAGCCGACCUGGGAGGGUGAUCGGCCACAUUGGAACUGGGACACGGCCCAAACUCCUACGGGAGGCAGCAGUAGGGAAUCUUCGGCAAUGGACGAAAGUCUGACCGAGCAACGCCGCGUGAGUGAAGAAGGUUUUCGGAUCGUAAAACUCUGUUGGUAGAGAAGAACGUUGGUGAGAGUGGAAAGCGCAUCAAGGGACGGUAACUACCCAGAAAGGGACGGCGAACUACGU